rnacentral:rRNA from 1 species
UCUCAGUUCGGAUUGGAGUCUGCAACUCGACUCCAUGAAGCUGGAUUCGCUAGUAAUCGCGCAUCAGCCACGGCGCGGUGAAUACGUUCCCGGGCCUUGUACACACCGCCCGUCAAGCCAUGGAAGCCGGGGGUGCCUGAAGUGCGCUGCCGCAAGGAGCGUCCUAGGGUAAAACCGGUGACUGGGGCUAAGUCGUAACAAGGUAUC